CCAUUUUUUCUAUCAGACAAACUAUUAAACUCUGACUGAAGUUGUUUUCCUUGAUAAUAUUUAUCAGUUAUGCAGUUUUUUAAGACCAUGCACUACUCUUACAUUGUUGAGUAAUUUGUCAUCUCGAGAUAAUAGCAUAUUUCUCCCAAACAAUCUCUAUAUCCUCAGUAUCUCGAACAUGUAUGCAUUACAAUAAAAAAACACAGAUGCAAUUUUCAGUAAUGCACUGUAGAUACACGAAUUAAAACUUUUUUUUCCACACAAGUAGGGGCACCAAAGUUCCUUUUGUUAUAACACUUCUAUUUUAGACAUAUCAUGUGUGAUAUUAGUGUAGUUUGUCGAGUCAAUCAAAGUGGACGUAAUAACUAUUGCUGCAGUAAUAGUUAUAGUGCUCGGUAUAAAUCCUGCAGUCAGCAAAACAAAGAUUUAAUUGUACAUGCAAUCUUUUCCUCAAGAAACUUGUAACUUUCAAGAACUCGUAGACUAAGGUUCAUAAUAGAAAGACAAAGAUUUCCACCGAUAGUAAAUAUCAAAUAUAUGGUUCCUGGUAUCUGAUGAAACCUUUUAUAAUCUUUCCUAUCCAAUUAUUGAAGUCUUUUUUUGUUGAACCUGUGGUUGAGUUCUUAUACACAUGAACGAAUAUUUGUGUGAUUCCACUCACCAUCUCAAUAAAUUCUAGUGAAGUUAUCCUAAAGCCCCAUAUCCUCCCAACAAGUAAUUACCUCAGUUUCGCAUCAUACACUGUUCCACUUUCAGUAGAUUUGCAUCAUGAAUUUCUUCGGAUACCAGAGGAGCUGCACUCUCUCUAUGGGAAUUCGAGGAGACAAACAAAAAAGUUCCAUUAUGAAUUUAGAAACAUGUGUUGAACUUUUCAUUCUGUAAAAUUGAGUAAAAAGACUCGGGUAUUAUCCUCCUCCAGCUCAACAGAUCACAAGAUUUCAUUACGCGCAAACUCAAGAAUCAAACUUGUGACCAGUUUUCGUGAUAUGAACAUCAGUUAGUAAAGAGCAAUUAAUCCAACUAUCGAUCAACUUCACAAACGCAAACAUAUGAAGAAAGACAAUAGGCUAAAACAUGAGGACAGCAAACCAACCUGUAAAAGUGAGACGAGCUCCGCGAUCUGAAAGACAGAAGAUGCGUACAAGAGCUCGACGGCGAAGCCAAUGGCUGGCCGGCAAGCGUCAUGCGCGCAGAACCUGUCAACGCAUAUC
rnacentral:lncRNA from 1 species